rnacentral:lncRNA from 1 species
AUUAAUAAUAAGAAGAUUGAACAAGUGUCGUCUGCAGUUUGUCAUUGAGUUUUGAAAGUGAGGCCACGAAGCAUAUGCCAACAAAGUUUCAGAAUAUAAAGAAAACUGAACGAUAUCUCUUUUGAAAACGUACGUGGCUGCACGAAAUAAUAAUUUAAAAAAACAAGAACAAAUCAAAUUACGAAAAUGUGAUCGUCUCGUGUGAUGUGUCUGGUCUCUGGUGUCGUAGCUCUUCAUGCUCUCCACUCGAUGCUUUUUGGCGGAUUUGAGGCCAUCGUAACAACAUGAUUCACAAGUUCUACUUGUGCUGAGUCGGUCAUCAGUCUGUCUGUCUCACCUGUUGUCACUAAAAAACUCUGAACUGCCACUUAGACAAAAAGCAUCCCAUUGUAUUGAAAAAAACUACCGAUGUCAAUCGAGUUACGCAUCGCUCUUUUCCCCCUUUCUUUCAAUGUUCUCGUGUACGCCCAUGUGAAUAUGGGUGUAUUCACGAGGACACCCUUUUUACCCUAUCCCGUCUGGUGUAAUUCAGCUCUUCUGCGGAUGGAUGGAGCAACUGUAGGUGUAUGGCUGUACUUCCCAGGCACAAAGGUAGGACAACAUUUAUCUCUAUUCUUUCUUUUUGGCAAUUUUUGGUAGCGUUCAUUAUAAAUCGAUCGUUAGUACAGACUACGUUUAUUCGUGAGCUAGGCGGUUGACUACAACUGUUUUUUCUCUCGGAUUUGUUUUUGUUUUUUCUCAGCAUUAAAAAUCUCAGUUGUCGAACGACUUGCGCAGAUCAGGCCUGUUUUGGUACCUUACAACUUUUUCUGUUGAGUAAAUCAUCACAUUUGAAAAUAUUUUAAAUUGAAACACUUGAAGCAAAGUGUAACAAAACCAUUUUUUUAUCAAGAGGGAUCUGCCGCCACCUCGUAGAUUUUGGCAGAGGUCUCAGUCUCAAUCAAUCCCUCAAGAAUUCAGUUGCUGGACAAGUUAUUUCAACACUGAAUACAUAAAAACGAACCGAUCAAUUCAACACUUUUGAUGAGUUCAAAGCUAAGUCCUGAUUUCUAGUCAACAACUGAUUGCUAUCAAAUUUGCGAUAUGAUUUUCAGUCGAACUCAUAUAAUACCUAUAUCUUCUUGCGAGAGAAGCUCUUCGAGAGAGAGGAGGUCAUUCGAUCUUCUUUUUCGGCGAGCCGCCACUGUUGUGGUACUGAGCAGCUGGAUCAAGAAGAGAAAGAGGAGGCCGAGGGAGAUGAGCGAGAUCAAUCCCAGGUAGUCGUGUCCCUCAUGGCAGCAGGAAUCGUAGCCGUAGCUGUCGCCUCCACCGUAGCCAUAACCUCCUCCAUCGCGCUCCUUUUUCGGAAGAGCGCGGGAAGAUGACGAGAGCCAUCCGGCUCCUAGCACGUCGGUCGAACGCUUGAUGCGCGGAUCACUUCUCAGGAUGCCCAUUAGUGGUCGGACAAACACCAACAUGCGUUUCAAUUCGUUCUCAGAGUCUAGACUCGUUUGAUUGUUGGUACUGGCCUCUUGGCUCAGCGAUCCCAUCACGAGAAACAGGCAGAUACUCAGCCCAACAAAAGCGCUUGAUUUGGUCAUUGUUAUUUAAUAAAUCACGACAGGAACAAGAAAUAAACAACCGGACGAUGGGAGAGAAACACAGAGCUCUACGAUACGUGGAGAAACCGAAAAAAAAUGAGAAGACUGAACACUAGCGCUGCAGCGUUCAGUUCACUAAAGAAUGACGGACAUGAAGCGAGAUUGGCAACUCCCUGGGAACGUAUAGCGUUUGGCUAUCUUGGUAGCGGGCACUGCGUAUAGGAAUAUCACGUCCAGCAGCGAAGUAAGUGUAAAGAUAACUCCUCCUAUCCAACACUCAUCUUAUGCUCCGCCUCUCUAAAAGGUUGCUGGUUCUUGAACUCGAAUACCCUGGUUGAGUUCGUACCGUUAUUAUUUAUAGCACGAAACGGCCAACAAAGAAAAAUCAGACGAAAUUCCAAGCGCGAUCUUGAUGGAAAUUAAAAUGAUAAAAUCCAGUCCCUCCUAUUGGCUAUAAUCAGUAACUUCAUCAUUGGACUAGUAAAUAUCUAGUUAAACAUCAAAAUACAUACGCCCUUGUAAAAAAACAAUUUUGCUUCUAGCCUCUAAACGCUAGUGAUUAGACCCACCAUCAAUCACAUUCCGGGAUAGUGCCAGUUAUCUUGUCGAGAUUGUGCAUCACGGCACGAGUUAACACUCUACAAGUAGCAUAUAAUGUUGAUCCAGCAAGCAGAAUAUACAUUACGUACGUUGUCGGGAAAACCGCACACACGAGAUACACAACGUAUAUGAUGGUUUUGGAAAGCCUUCUGUAAUUUCGAUUUCUGCAGCUUUACACAAAGAAAGAACUGUAAGCGCGAAGAAAUAUCGGAAACCCUUCGGUCACAGUCCGUUUAAUGGUCAAUGGUUCUCACGAGCGCACACCAGCAGCACUCGUCGUGUUCCAUUCACCUUCAGUUUAACCGAACCCCGUCCAGCCGUGAAUAGCGAAUGGCUGAAUGUACAACAUUUUUCAAAUAGUCAGCAGUAUACACUUGUACACUGAAAACAGAACUCGUCAAAACUUUUGUACAGCACAAAGGCCCGCUCGUCCAGCUGAUAUUUAAUAAAUGACAAGUUUUGUAGGUAACGGGAAAAUAACACAAAUAUAAACUACCGUCAUUAUAUGCUGUGAUGUCCGUCUCGCAGCAGUCGUUAUCCGGCGUGACGGAUCGUUUCCUUUUGCCACUCACUGCUGUGCUGGUGGCAAAUGCCGCCACGAAGAGAACCAGAAAAAGGACGAUGUUGAUCACGAUCAACGGCAGUAGCUUUAGCGGUAAAUACAAACUGGGCACCUUUUCAUCAUAGUACACAUAAUCUUGGUCAUAGUCCUGGUAAUAAGUCUUGUCGGCCCUGUCUAACCAGGCAGAGCCGAAUUCGUUAUUUUCGUUCACGUCAUCGUCGUACACGAACGUCUCCUUUCCGAGUUCCACCUUUUGGACUGCCAGGAUGAAGACCAACAGCGCCGUAACUAGCACCAAAGACACUUUGUCCAUUUUGGCUGGAAUAGAACUUGGUUCUCAAAUUGACGAGCAAGUCGAAAUCAUUUUUCGCAAACGAAUAACACACAGCACAACAAGCGCCAACGCUUUCCAAUUACGUUCUGCGUAUAGAUUGCGAUAUUGGACGACAAAGCGACUAGACUGCCGCUUCGACACUGUCGACUGAAGAACAAAAACAAAAAAAAACCCAAAGAGUCUCUCAGCCGUAAUAAUCGGCUCUACCGCGCGCCAUAUACCAGGCUAGAAAAAUAUAAUGGCUGAGAAUUGAUAAUGAUUAUAGUAUAAAUAAGAAUUUUUCUCUGCUGAAAAGAAAAGCCGUGCUACUACAGCACGAGAAAAAAAAAAACAUUGGGGGAUAAUAACGGGGUGUCACCACAAGUGUGAGUGUUUUUUC